rnacentral:rRNA from 1 species
GUGGGGAAUAUUGGACAAUGGACGAAAGUCUGAUGGUGCAACGCCGCGUGGAGGAUGACGGUCUUCGGAUUGUAAACUCCUGUCAUCCGGGAGUAAGACCUGGCUGUGAAUAGCAGACAGGGUUGAUAGUACCGGAAGAGGAAGGGACGGCUAACUUCGUGCCAGCAGCCGCGGUAAUACGAAGGUCCCGAGCGUUGUUCGGAAUCACUGGGCGUAAAGGGAGCGUAGGCGGCGUGGUAAGUCAGAUGUGAAAUCCCGGGGCUCAAACCCGGAACUGCAUCCGAUACUGCCGUGCUAGAGGAUUGGAGAGGUAGCUGGAAUUCUUGGUGUAGCAGUGAAAUGCGUGGAGAUCAAGAGGAACACUCGUGGCGAAAGCGAGCUACUGGACAAUAUCUGACGCUGAGGCUCGAAGGCCAGGGUAGCGAAAGGGAUUAGAAACCCCAGUAGUCC